GGGUGCCUGUAAUCCACACUACACAGGAGGCUGAGGCAGAGAGAAUGGUUUGAACCCCCGGGAGGCAGAGACUGCAGUGAGCUGAGAUCACGCCACUGCACUCCAGCCUGGGCGACAGAGCGAGACCCUGUCUCAAAAAAAAAAAAAAAAAAAAGAAGCAGCAGCAGCAGCAAAUUUCCAGGAAGAAGCAGGCUAUGGAGAUCAGGGCAGGCAAAGGACAGAAUUAGGUUAGUGCAUCAACUGGGUCCAACCAGGAAGACACAUGUGUUUAUCUCCUGCAGCACCAAAAACCACCCAGAAGACAGCUCAGUGGACCCUAGCAGUGGAUUCUACAUGUCUGCAGAAAAUGAGCAGAAAACAAGCCAGAGUUACAGCUAUCUGCAGAGAGACUACAUCCAGGAGCUGACACCAUGAAUCACAGUGGAAUUCUCCAAAUGGAAUGCAGCCACACCUCAGCUUCUGUGCUGCGUGCUGCCACUGAGGACAUUCGAUACCAUUGAAGCCGUCAGAUAGAGGCCGUAUUUCAAAAGGUCUACGGUGGCUCCGUUUCUUCUCUGAGACUUCAAAAGUCCUUCAAGAGUGAGUUCCCGUCUCAUUCUAUGUCCAGGAUGAAGACGGAUGGCCUCUUGGCACCCAUCUCUUUGGCAUGAACGAUGUGGGGAAACGUGAAUGGAAAUGGGGAACUGUUGCUGGCACCCAGAAGUCAUCCGGUCCGGAUGAAGCCAAGUCACAAGGAAGUGCCUCCAAUUAUUCUUCAUAAAUUCCUCUGAGGUUUCACUUCUUGUCCACACAAGACUUUAAUAAAAUGUGGCAUCUAACUGAAUAAAGACUAUCCUUUCGGGUGUGUGUGUCAUGACAGUACUAUUUAUGGAGGACCUCCUGUGUAGCAGUUCUUGCACUGUUUUACGUAAUCAUCCCCUUUCAUCCUAACAAUCACUCCUGUGAAGUAUGUGUCCUUAUUUUCAUUUCGUUGUAGAGAAAACCAAGGCUCUGAGACAUUAAGCAAUGUGCCCAAGGACACACAGCUAGUAAGUGGCUGGAUUUGAGCGCAAGCCUACAAGAAACUUCUCUCCAGGAUGAUUAAGAAAAGGAAAUGCCGGAUUGAAAAGAUGCCAAGCUUCCAGAGCGCGUUCAUGUGGCUCGAUUGACAGUGGCAACCAUUAUCGUCAUCACCGUCAUCGCUGCUUUUAACGGUUAAUGAUAAUAAGCCGUCACACACGGAUGCAGCACUUUGCAAUGCACAAAGCCCUCUUGCACUCAUGCUCUCCAGCGCUCCUCACUGCCAUCUGGGAAUCUCCACUUUGCAGAUGUGGAAACUGAAGCUCGGACGAUGGCAGUGACUCGCCCUGCUAGCCCUGCCGAGAGAGGUCUGCCUUUGCCUCCCUGAUUCUGAAUCAGAUAGGGUCAGGACUCCCUCUAUUCCCCUGGGCUCCUCAACCUGGCGCCCUCACCGCUUACUUGCGGGCCCCUCCUGCCCUCUUCUGCUCCAGACGGCAGGCUCUCUGAGGCAGGACUCUGAUUGGACAGCUUGGAUCAUGUGCUCAUUCAAAAGCCAAUCAGCAGCAGGGGGCUUGGCUCUGUAUUCACUCUUCCCAUGUUAGCUGCCCUUUUUUUUUUUUUUUUUUUUUUUUUUUUUGAGACACAGUCUCAUUCCUCUGCCCCGGCUGGAGUGGAUCUCAGCUCAAUGCAACCUCCACCUCCUGGGUUCAUGUGAUUCUCCUGCCUCAGCAUCUCGAAUAGCUGGGAAUACAGGCACCCGCUACCAUGCCCAGCUAAUUUUUGUAUUUUUAAUAGAGACGAGGUUUCACCAUGUUGGCCAGGCUGGUCUGGAACGCCUGACCUCAAGUGAUCUACCUGCCUUGGCCUGCCAAAGUUCUGGGAUUACAGGUGUGAGGCACUGCACCUGGCCUGCCCUAACUCCCGUUAGGAAUAUGGGAAACUCUUUUCCCAAAGCAGCCUGCACCUCGGUCUUCCCACCCCACCCUACUGAAGAAGGCUCCCAGAAACCAGCUUUGCUGAGCCCAGAACGGCCUGGCUCUGGCAGAUUUGCCCCCAGGCUGCAAGUGGGCGGCAGCACUCCCCCUACAUGUCCCUUUCUAUUUCCUGCCCCUCCCCCUGAGUCUUCCUUUCAUUCUUGCAGCCAGCUCCCAGCCCUGCUUCCCUGCCAGGACCCCAAUUCCCUAACUCCCUGGCAUCAAGACCUGCAUGGAUGUCCCCUGCACUUGUUUUGUCCCCGGAUGUGGCUCCUUGGACUGUCCAGCCCCACACCUGGCCUCUUGUUUCCCACCAGCUACAGCGGCCAAGGCUCCAGCAGGCCUUGUACUUGGCUGGCCCAGGCUUGGCUUUGAUGGACCAGUGACCCAAAUAAGUGACCUUGGAAAGGUCUUCCUAAAGGUGGUGGAGACCAUGUUCUUGAGAGUUGGAGUGGUGUUGGCUUGAGUGUGGGGCUGAGAUCUCACCCAGUGCUAGGGUCCAGGCUGCGAAAUGAGGCAUAGGAUGAGAGAGGUUCUGAGCCACAAAUGGGGUCCAUACCUAAGAGGAUGGGAUCAACCUAGGGAAGGAUUUGGAGGAGAGGCGUGUGUGGAAACAGAGCCUGGAUGCUGAGUCCCUGGAGGCCGGAGUGGGCCCUGGGGCACAGGGAGCCCCUGGCCCCGCCACUGAUGCCAAUUGGGGUGUCAGUCCCCCAACAAAUUCAGUCUGUCCAUAUCUAUUGCUGACACAGGGUUUAGAGAGGGCUUAAAUUCAGAUAAAUGGAAUUUGAAUUCCCUCUUUGUCUCUCAAAUGUGUGAAUUUUGGCAGCCAAGUUCCUCUCUCUGAGCCCAGUUUGUCCAUCUCAAGAUUGUGUGUGAUCAUACCCACCACACUGGGCCACCAGGAGGAAUGAGCGAAGCACCUCAUGUCAAAUGCCUGGCCCAGGCCUGUGUCUGGCAGGGACUCAUGGCUGCGGAAGGGUCAUUAUUUGCCCCCAGGGAUUUCUAGAGAGGAUCAGGAUGCCACGAGGGAUGCUAUUGGAAGCAAGUCACACAGAAGCCAGAGCCCUGGGCUUUCCUAGCAGCACUGGACAUGGGGCAGGGAACAAACCCGAGCCACACUUCUCAGAGGGUGGGCAUGGCAUUGAAAACGACGUGUGUAGGAAGCUUUUCCAAUACACAAGCUGGGCCCCGCCCCAGAACCUUGAGGGGCAGGAGGAGCACUGAGACAACCUUGGGUGGGGUGAGGCAGGGGGACGGCGGGGGGAGAUUUCCAGUCCCUUAGCUGGCGGAAGACUCCUGAGCUGGCAGAGAGCCCUCUUCUUGAAAGACUCUCAUGCACAGGCCAUCAGGAGGAUCACAAAGUUGUUUAUUUUCCCACCUAUAAGAAAAGAUGGAUGAUGCAGAGUGCCGAGAAAUCCC
rnacentral:lncRNA from 1 species